rnacentral:lncRNA from 1 species
UGUGUUUGAUGUUCAUGACUGAUUGUUUCAGGUUACUAGUGAAGAAGAUGUAUGUAACAAUGCAAUAAAUACAUUGUGAAUGCAGGUAUUAAUUUCAUUAAACUUCUAGUCUUAUCAUAAUGUUGUUUUGAUGAACAUUAUUUGGUUUGUUUAUUUCAGGUACAUACUAUAUUACUGAAGAAGAAGACAUACUGGACAUUUCUCUUAUGUGUUUUGUGAUUUUGUAAAUAACAAUAAAACGAAUGUCAUUUCAUUUCUAAAGGAUAGUAUGUUUCUUCUCUCCUCUGUAUCCUUGUUAGCUUGUUGAAUGGUCUCUCAGUCUCGGUUGGUCUUUUAGUGCUUCAACUUUGUUCUGUUUCGAUUUCCUAGGUAGCAUACUCUGUUUAUAUUCGACACAAUUUUUCGCUAUCAACAUCUAUUAGAUAAAAAUAAUAAAAAAAUUUGAAAUUAAAUGAGUGAUACUUAUAUUUUAUUUAAAUAAAAAUAACAACAAGUUAAAGUUAAUGAUUAGUUUGUAAUUAAAAAGUUCAUCUUUAAAAAUGAAGAAUAUAACAUCAUAACUGUUAAAUAUUCAAAUUUUGAAGAUAUGAAAAAAUGAAAUAUCACUAGAAAAGAAAACAGAGAAAGUGAAAUAUGAAACGCAAUUGAAAAUACUCUAAAACUUAUGCUUUGCGACUUUUAUUAAACUUUGACUUCUCAUCACUAACCAGCAAGUUCUCUGAGUCAUAUUUUAUCUCACUCAAUCUUAACAACAUCCAUUAGACCGAGCAUGGUUAUACUAUAACUUAUAUGGACUUGAAUCUGAUAGGUGCAUUAGUUGUUCAUUUGAUCUUGGCUAGUCAAUAUAUUGCAUGAGAAAACUUAGUUCAUACCAAGGCCACCACAAGUGUUGACAAUCUCGCCAUAGGUACGUAUAACACUCAACUUACUCCCGAAUUCAAAGAUACUUUUCACAACAAACCUUGAAUAAGGUGUCAUCGAUUCAAUGUCAAUUCCUUGAAGAUUACAUCGACUGCUUCAUCACGAACCAGUCGAUACGCCUUAUCGUAUAGCUUCCUGAUCAGAUCUUUCAUGAUCCAUGGUGAUGGCGUGGAUGCCCUUCUUACCAAACUCAACUCCACUAUCUCCUAGAUAAUUGUCUCAAAAGUUUUGGACAGGGCCGCUGAACAUGAAAAACAUGAGUUUGCAGUUCAUGUGUUGCGUGAAUGCAGGUACUCUUUUACUCUUCUAUUCUUCUUUUUAUUUGUUGCGUUUGAUGUUCAUGACUGAUUGUUUCAGGUUACUAGUGAAGAAGAUGUAUGUAACAAUGCAAUAAAUACAUUGUGAAUGCAGGUAUUAAUUUAAUUAAACUUCUAGUCUUAUCAUAAUGUUGUUUUGAUGUACAUUAUUUGGUUUGUUUAUUUCAGGUACAUACUAUACUACUGAAGAAGAAGACAUACUGGACAUUUCUCUUAUGUGAUUUGUGAUUUUGUAAAUAACAACAAAACGAAAGUCAUUUCAUUUCUAAAGGAUAGUAUGUUUCUUCUCUCCUCUGUAUCCUUGUUAGCUUUUUGAAUGGUCUCUCAGUCUCAGUUGGUCUUUUAGUGCUUCAACUUUGUUCUGUUUCGAUUUCCUAGGUAGCAUACUCUGUUUAUUGCCGCUCUGUCUAGUUUUUUUUUAUGGUCUUCUUUGUUUGUCAUCUCCUUCCUGCCUUGUUAUCACCGGAUAUGUUUCUUUGACCAUCCUGUUUUGCAAUGUGUCUUGGUUCAUUGUCUGGUUCAGUCGUCGUGGUGAU